rnacentral:rRNA from 1 species
UCCCAGACUCCUACGGGAGGCAGCAGUGGGGAAUAUUGCACAAUGGGGGGAACCCUGAUGCAGCGACGCCGCGUGGGCGAGGAAGUAUUUCGGUAUGUAAAGCCUUCUCGGCAGGGAAGAAGAAAUGACGGUACCUGAAUAAGAAGCACCGGCUAAAUACGUGCCAGCAGCCGCGGUAAUACGUAUGGUGCAAGCGUUAUCCGGAUUUACUGGGUGUAAAGGGGGCGCAGACGGCAGCGCAAGCCAGGAGUGAAAGCCCGGGGCCCAACCCCGGGACUGCUCUUGGAACUGCGCGGCUGGAGUGCAGGAGGGGCAGGCGGAAUUCCUGGUGUAGCGGUGAAAUGCGUAGAUAUCAGGAGGAACACCGGUGGCGAAGGCGGCCUGCUGGACUGCAACUGACGUUGAGGCCCGAAAGCGUGGGGAGCAAACAGGAUUAGAUACCCGCGUA